ensembl:snoRNA small nucleolar RNA SNORA57
CCUCCUCUUCGUGGCGGGGUUCGGGCCUGCGGUCCCGGUCCCCUUAAUGUACGGAGGCAGAGGGAGAGGGCUCCGGCCCCCUCGGCGUCAUGCCUUCGGUGCCGACGGUUGCCAGUCCGCCGGUUCUAUCCUCAAGCGCCGGGACACGG